rnacentral:rRNA from 1 species
CCUUGUUCUUUAAAUGAGGACUAGUAUGAAUGGCACCACGAGGGUUGCACUGUCUCCUUCCCCUAAUCAAUGAAACUAAUCUUCCCGUGAAGAAGCGGGAAUUUAUUUAUAAGACGAGAAGACCCUAUGGAGCUUUAAAUUUCUCUUCAAACGCCAGACAUAAACCCUAAACAUCUUACACCAACCCGGCGCCAUGAAGAUGAAUUUUAGGUUGGGGUGACCACGGAGAACAAGACAACCUCCAUGCUGAAUAGGCCUAAAACCUUGAACUAAGGACCACAGCCCGACGAACUAAAAAAUUAACACCCAUUGACCCAAUUCUUUUUGAUCAACGAACCAAGUUACCCUAGGGAUAACAGCGCAAUCUACUUCAAGAGUCCUUAUCGACAAGUGGGUUUACG